rnacentral:rRNA from 1 species
GAGUUUGAUCAUGGCUCAGAAUGAACGCUGGCGGCGUGCCUAACACAUGCAAGUCGAACGAGAAAUCGGGCACUCAGGCAACUGAGUGCCGGAGAGUAAAGUGGCGCACGGGUGAGUAACGCGUGGGUAACCUGCCCUUGAAACCGGGAUAACAUCGCGAAAGCGUUGCUAAUACCGGAUACUGUCCCAAGAACUGUGGUUCCUGGGAUGAAAGGUGACCUCUCCGUGGAAGUUGCCGUUCAAGGAGGGGCCCGCGUACCAUUAGCUUGUUGGUAGGGUAAUGGCCUACCAAGGCGACGAUGGUUAGCUGGUCUGAGAGGAUGAUCAGCCACACUGGAACUGAAACACGGUCCAGACUCCUACGGGAGGCAGCAGUGAGGAAUUUUGCGCAAUGGGGGAAACCCUGACGCAGCAACGCCGCGUGAGUGAAGAAGGCCUUCGGGUCGUAAAGCUCUGUCAAGGGGGAAAAAAGUCCUGCAGUGAAUAGCUGUAGGAUGGGAUGGACCUNUAGAGGAG